rnacentral:rRNA from 1 species
CAGCAGCCGCGGUAAUACGGAGGGUGCAAGCGUUAAUCGGAAUUACUGGGCGUAAAGCGUGCGUAGGCGGUCCGUUAAGUCUGUUGUGAAAGCCCCGGGCUCAACCUGGGAAUGGCAAUGGAUACUGGCGAGCUAGAGUGUGUCAGAGGAUGGUGGAAUUCCCGGUGUAGCGGUGAAAUGCGUAGAGAUCGGGAGGAACAUCAGUGGCGAAGGCGGCCAUCUGGGACAACACUGACGCUGAGGCACGAAAGCGUGGGGAGCAAACAGGAUUAGAUACCCCCGUAGUCCCUGUCUCUUAUAA